GGCCUCGUAGCUCAGCUGGUAGAGCAUGCGCGUACAAAGCGUAGGCGGCGUGCAUGCGUGGGUUCGAAUCCCACCGAGGCUA
rfam:Echinostoma caproni strain Egypt genome assembly, scaffold: ECPE_scaffold0025654